AGAGUACAGUCGCCUUUGGCCUUUGAUGACUUUUCCCCAACCUCAUCUCUCCAGACCUCAGUUUUACACUCUUGAGUGUGGGCUGGUAAUGUCUGGUCAACUCUUGGGAAGGGAGGCCGGGAGAAAGGUCUACAGACACCCUCUAUCCUACUGCACUGGCCCUGCCCCCCUCAAAUGUCUGCAUUUGCCCUCUGACCUCUGUCCCCUCCACCCCCACCGCAACAGAGCUGGCCAAGAUCACUACUAGAAGUCCAAAUGGCUCUUACGUCUCAGCAGCAGUGGGAGUUCUCCCUCCUUGCUGGCUCCCUGCCACCGUGUUCUCUGGUUUGCCUCCCCCCCACUCUGGCCACUCCUUCUCAUUCUCCUUUGAGGGGUCCUUCCCCUGCCCCAGUCCUUAAAUGUUGCAAUUUCUCCAAGAUCCAGUCCCCAACCUCUCUUCUCCGUACUCCACACCCCCAAAGGGUACCCUGAGCCCUGGUUUCAAGUCCAUCUCCGUAUUUAGGACACAAUGCUCAGCCUGCAUCCUAGAGGUCUCCACAUUCUCAGACCAUCUCUCCAGCUUCCAUCUGAGCCUCUCUUCUGGCUGUGUGACAGCUACCUCGAACUCUGCCCGCCCCAUGCUGCACUUGUAGAUCCCUCAUUCUCACCACCCAGCCAUACACACCGCACUGAGUCUCAGGGAACUGCACCACCAUCCGGUCAUUAAAUGCACAAGGAGCAGCUUCAGGGUGACAGGCACUGCUCCAGGUGCCAAGGGGACAGCAGGGAACAGGUCAGAGUUUCCGCUCUUGUGGCAUGUAUGUUCCAUCUACCAAGAUGUCCAGGGACCUGGCACUUACUGGUACUGCCUUCACCAUCUAUAUGAAACUGCACAGUAGGACUUGUCAAUUCUGCUUUCCUAAUAUCACUUGAAUGGGUCUUGUUCUUCCAGGCCAUUCUCACUGCCAGUGACUUAGUUUGGGUUCUGACAUGAUCACCCUCCAGUCUUGCCCUUCUAACUCACUUGACACUGCAGCCAUAUGUUUUAGAAACACAAAUCUGGUUAUGCUCCUUUGCUCAAAGCCUCCACCUUAAGGAUAAAGUCCACUUAGCUGGCUAGUUGGCUGUCCAUCAGCCAGGUGUCUACUAGAGAAAGAAAACCGGGAGGGGAUUAGCAGUCUAUUUACCUAUCUACCUAUUUAUCUCUAACUAUCUCUAGAGAUAGAGUUCAAGGAAUUGGCUUCUGCAGUCAAGGAGUCUGGCUAAGCCAGCCCCAGAGGUGUAGGUCAAGCUGAAGGCUGGGAAGGCCAGGCUGGAGCUGACGCUGCAGUCCGCAAGCAGAAUUUCUCCCUUCUCAGGGAAACCUCAGUUUUAUUCUUAAGGGCUGUCAAUGGAUUAGAUGAGUCCCAUCCAGAUUACUGAGGAUAAUCUCCAAGUCAACUGAUUGUAGAUAUUACCUGUGUCUACGAAAUACCUUCACAGCAACACCCAGAUUAGUGUUGACUGAAUAACUGGGAGCUGUAGCCUCCCGAAGUCAACACAUAAAACUGAGCAUCACAGCGUGAUACUCUUGGAUCUGGUCCAUCCUCAUCGCCCUCACCUCUUUUCUUCCCCUGGUCCCCACCUCACACUCUAGGCUCAGUCACCCCUUGUCCUGUGCCAGUUGGCCUCCUGCCACCUGUCCCUGCUCAGGCUUGGAAUCUUACCCUCCCCUUUCCUAGAUGACUUCUAUUUGUCUUAAAACCACUGGGUGCUGCCUUCUCAGGAAGUCUUCCCUGCCUCCACCCAGUCCAAGUCUUCUGAGCAAAGGGCACUGCCUCUGAGCUUGCAACCCCCCCACUGUUCCUGGGAAAUGGAAGCUGCCUGUUGGUUGUGUGGUCUGUCCAACCAGAAUGGGAACAGCUCUGGGACAAGAAUCCAGUGACUUGUGACUUUCCAUCA
ensembl:lncRNA